rnacentral:rRNA from 1 species
CCUACGGGAGGCAGCAGUGGGGAAUAUUGGACAAUGGGCGAAAGCCUGAUCCAGCCAUGCCGCGUGUGUGAAGAAGGCCUUCGGGUUGUAAAGCACUUUCAGUGGGGAAGAAAGCCUUGGGGCUAAUACCCUCGAGGAAGGACAUCACCCACAGAAGAAGCACCGGCUAACUCCGUGCCAGCAGCCGCGGUAAUACGGAGGGUGCGAGCGUUAAUCGGAAUUACUGGGCGUAAAGCGCGCGUAGGCGGUCUGAUAAGCCGGUUGUGAAAGCCCCGGGCUCAACCUGGGAACGACAUCCGGAACUGUCAGGCUAGAGUGCAGGAGAGGAAGGUAGAAUUCCCGGUGUAGCGGUGAAAUGCGUAGAGAUCGGGAGGAAUACCAGUGGCGAAGGCGGCCUUCUGGACUGACACUGACGCUGAGGUGCGAAAGCGUGGGUAGCAAACAGGAUUAGAUACCCGGGUAGUC